rnacentral:rRNA from 3 species
CGUUCAGGGGUAAACCUGAGAAACCCGAAAGGUCGAACGGAGAGAUUCAUUCGCGGUACGGGCGGUGAUCUAGAGCGUCGGGAUGACGCGUCGCUCCUAGCGAGCGAUGCGCCCCUUCGUCUCGGAUCAGUCGUCGAACGCGUGCACUUCUCUCCUAGUAGGACGUCGCGAUCCGUUGAGUGCCGGUCGAAGGGUCCGCGAGGAAGCCCGCGAACGCGAUGCAAAUCGUCGUUUGCGGACCUGCGGUCUCCUGUCCGGCCGCUCGACGGUGUACAGACGGUGAGAGACCGCGAUUUUCGCGCCCGGUCGGUCGCAAACGCGCUUUAUGCGUCGGCUUUCGGUAUUACCGUUUGUGCCGGCCUCUAGCGGUUGUUGGCGAUCGUAUUCUCGGGCAGAUCUCUUUUUAACCGAUCUGCGACGCUACAGCUUUGGGUACUCUCAGGGCCCGUCUUGAAACACGGACCAAGGAGUCCAGUGUGUACGCGAGUCAUUGGGUCCGAUUAAACCUAAAGGCGUAAUGAAAGUAAAGAUCCGUCAGGAUCCAGGGAAGAUGACCGACCUUGACGGUCGGUCCGCACUCCCGGGGUGUCUCUAUCUUUUAUUAGAUGAGGCGCACCACGAGCGUACACGCUGGGACCCGAAAGAUGGUGAACUAUGCCCGGUCAGGACGAAGUCAGGGGAAACCCUGAUGGAGGUCCGUAGCGGUUCUGACGUGCAAAUCGAUCGUCUGAACUGGGUAUAGGGGCGAAAGACUAAUCGAACCAUC